rnacentral:tRNA from 1 species
GGGCGCAUAGCUCAGGGGGAGAGCACCUGCCUUACAAGCAGGGGGUCGCAGGUUCAAAUCCUGCUGCGCCCA